rnacentral:rRNA from 1 species
UACACUCCUACGGGAGGCAGCAGUGGGGAAUAUUGGACAAUGGGCGCAAGCCUGAUCCAGCCAUGCCGCGUGAGUGAUGAAGGCCCUAGGGUUGUAAAGCUCUUUCACCGGUGAAGAUAAUGACGGUAACCGGAGAAGAAGCCCCGGCUAACUUCGUGCCAGCAGCCGCGGUAAUACGAAGGGGGCUAGCGUUGUUCGGAUUUACUGGGCGUAAAGCGCACGUAGGCGGACUAUUAAGUCAGGGGUGAAAUCCCGGGGCUCAACCCCGGAACUGCCUUUGAUACUGGUAGUCUUGAGUUCGAGAGAGGUGAGUGGAAUUCCGAGUGUAGAGGUGAAAUUCGUAGAUAUUCGGAGGAACACCAGUGGCGAAGGCGGCUCACUGGCUCGAUAAUGACGCUGAGGUGCGAAAGCGUGGGGAGCAAACAGGAUUAGAAACCCGUGUAGUCC